rnacentral:rRNA from 1 species
ACGGGAGGCAGCAGUGGGGAAUAUUGCACAAUGGGCGAAAGCCUGAUGCAGCGACGCCGCGUGAGUGAAGAAGUAUUUCGGUAUGUAAAGCUCUAUCAGCAGGGAAGAAAAUGACGGUACCUGACUAAGAAGCUCCGGCUAAAUACGUGCCAGCAGCCGCGGUAAUACGUAUGGAGCAAGCGUUAUCCGGAUUUACUGGGUGUAAAGGGAGCGUAGACGGUGUGGUAAGUCUGAAGUGAAAGCUCGAGGCUCAACUUCGGAAUUGCUUUGGAAACUAUCAUACUAGAGUGCAGGAGAGGCAAGUGGAAUUCCUAGUGUAGCGGUGAAAUGCGUAGAUAUUAGGAGGAACACAGUGGCGAAGGCGGCUUGCUGGACUGUAACUGACGUUGAGGCUCGAAAGCGUGGGGAGCAAACAGGAUUAGAUACCCUGGUA